UUCAAAUCCGGGAAUAUAGUUAAGUAGGAAUUUUCCUCACUUAAAUAAAUAACAUAAACACGCAGGUCGACUGAUUAUAAUGCCGCUUUGUGCUUUAUUCCAUCUUCCCCUUUAAGAGCAAAACUGUAGAUUCAGACGGAUCUGAAAGCGGAAAUCUUUAGGGAACGCUUCCUUAAGAAACUCUGUGGGAAGGUUAUUAUUUAUCCAAAACGUAGCGUUUUUAUUAGAAAUAACCACCCCUCCCAUCACGUUUUUCUUUUAAUGCAAACUUUAAGUUGCAAAAGAGCAUUUCUCCACAAAUGAAACACAGUAAAAGGGGUACUACUUCAAAAAAGAACAUGAUGAUUGCAGCUGUGAUCUACAUUGUGCUAAAUGUUCCUGCUUCCUGUGCAGUUCCUCUCUGACUCAGAGCAGUACCGCUUCCGCUCUGUGAAGCAGCAAUUGUUUUUCCUGAGUUGUCCAAUGUGUCCUGCCUAUCAGACACAGUGCUCAGGCAGAGCGUUUCAGCAUCUUAUGAAGAGUCUUCAGACAUGUAGCUGGGUGUUUGAUGGCAGACCUUGUGGGGCAGUGCUUCAUGGUACCCUGGUUCAAAAAGAUCAGAACUGGAGCUGCUCUGGCUGUUGGCACAGACAGGGAAAGGGAUAAAUGUCUGUGGCAGGCAGUACCUCAUCUCUGCAGGACAAAAUAAAACACCCCAGUUUGGAAACCAACAAGACUGGGUAAUUACUAAAUCAUUUUAGGGUUUGUUCAUCUACAAACCUUACAUGAAUGGAUAUAAGAGGACAGGUUUUCUCUCAGGAUGGAGUUGAAGAUAAGGUCUGGUUGGAUCUUGAGGACUUCCUCUCUGUUGAUCAUGGCAUCAUGAUGUGAUAAAUCCUGAAUUCAGCAGAGUUAUGAAUAAAAACGAGUAACAAACAGA